rnacentral:rRNA from 1 species
GACGAACGCUGGCGGCGUGCUUAACACAUGCAAGUCGAACGGAAAGGCCCUGCUUUUGUGGGGUGCUCGAGUGGCGAACGGGUGGGUAACACGCGAGUAACCUGCCCUUGACUUUGGGAUAACUUCAGGAAACUGGGGCUAAUACCGGAUAGGAGCUCCUGCUGCAUGGUGGGGGUUGGAAAGUUUCGGCGGUUGGGGAUGGACUCGCGGCUUAUCAGCUUGUUGGUGGGGUAGUGGCUUACCAAGGCUUUGACGGGUAGCCGGCCUGAGAGGGUGACCGGCCACAUUGGGACUGAGAUACGGCCCAGACUCCUACGGGAGGCAGCAGUGGGGAAUAUUGCACAAUGGGCGGAAGCCUGAUGCAGCAACGCCGCGUGCGGGAUGACGGCCUUCGGGUUGUAAACCGCUUUCGCCUGUGACGAAGCGUGAGUGACGGUAAUGGGUAAAGAAGCACCGGCUAACUACGUGCCAGCAGCCGCGGUGAUACGUAGGGUGCGAGCGUUGUCCGGAUUUAUUGGGCGUAAAGGGCUCGUAGGUGGUUGAUCGCGUCGGAAGUGUAAUCUUGGGGCUUAACCCUGAGCGUGCUUUCGAUACGGGUUGACUUGAGGAAGGUAGGGGAGAAUGGAAUUCCUGGUGGAGCGGUGGAAUGCGCAGAUAUCAGGAGGAACACCAGUGGCGAAGGCGGUUCUCUGGGCCUUUCCUGACGCUGAGGAGCGAAAGCGUGGGGAGCGAACAGGCUUAGAUACCCUGGUAGUCCACGCUGUAAACGGUGGGUACUAGGUGUGGGGUCCAUUCCACGGGUUCCGUGCCGUAGCUAACGCUUUAAGUACCCCGCCUGGGGAGUACGGCCGCAAGGCUAAAACUCAAAGGAAUUGACGGGGCCCCGCACAAGCGGCGGAGCAUGCGGAUUAAUUCGAUGCAACGCGUAGAACCUUACCUGGGUUUGACAUGGAUCGGGAGUGCUCAGAGAUGGGUGUGCCUCUUUUGGGGUCGGUUCACAGGUGGUGCAUGGCUGUCGUCAGCUCGUGUCGUGAGAUGUUGGGUUAAGUCCCGCAACGAGCGCAACCCUUGUUCACUGUUGCCAGCACGUUAUGGUGGGGACUCAGUGGAGACCGCCGGGGUCAACUCGGAGGAAGGUGGGGAUGACGUCAAGUCAUCAUGCCCCUUAUGUCCAGGGCUUCACGCAUGCUACAAUGGCUGGUACAGAGAGUGGCGAGCCUGUGAGGGUGAGCGAAUCUCGGAAAGCCGGUCUCAGUUCGGAUUGGGGUCUGCAACUCGACCUCAUGAAGUCGGAGUCGCUAGUAAUCGCAGAUCAGCAACGCUGCGGUGAAUACGUUCCCGGG